AACGAACGCUGGCGGCAUGCCUAACACAUGCAAGUCGAACGAGACCUUCGGGUCUAGUGGCGCACGGGUGCGUAACGCGUGGGAACCUGCCCUUAGGCUCGGAAUAACUCCCCGACAGGGGUGCUAAUACCGGAUAAUGUCUUCGGACCCAAGAUUUAUCGCCUUUGGAUGGGCCCGCGUUGGAUUAGCUAGUUGGUAGGGUAAAAGCCUACCAAGGCGACGAUCCAUAGCUGGUCUGAGAGGAUGAUCAGCCACACUGGGACUGAGACACGGCCCAGACUCCUACGGGAGGCAGCAGUGGGGAAUAUUGGACUAUGGGCGAAGGCCUGAUCCAGCAAUGCCGCGUGAGUGAUGAAGGCCUUAGGGUUGUAAAGCUCUUUUACCCGGGAUGAUAAUGACAGUACCGGGAGAAUAAGCUCCGGCUAACUCCGUG
rnacentral:rRNA from 1 species